CUUCCGCAUGGAAGAAGAUUGAAAGACGGCUCUGCUGUCACUUAUAGAUGACCUUGCGGUGCAUUAGUUAGUUGGUGGGGUAAUGGCCUACCAAGACGAUGAUGCAUAGCCGACCUGAGAGGGUGAUCGGCCACAUUGGGACUGAGACACGGCCCAAACUCCUACGGGAGGCAGCAGUAGGGAAUCUUCCGCAAUGGGCGAAAGCCUGACGGAGCAAUGCCGCGUGAGUGAAGAAGGCCUUCGGGUCGUAAAACUCUGUUAUAAGAGAAGAACAAAUUGUAGAGUAACUGCUACAGUCUUGACGGUAUCUUAUCAGAAAGCCACGGCUAACUACGUG
rnacentral:rRNA from 1 species